GUUUCCAUUUCUCUAUGCAGAAGGGCACAUCAGUUCUAAGAAAAUAACUAUUUAGUAACAAUUGCCUCCCUGCUGUUGCGCUCACUGCCCAGUAGAUGGCGCUGGGAAUACGGCCACUAAGACGGUCGCUUAGUGCAAUAAAACAGCUUGGGAAGUGCAUGUGAUUCGCUGGGCGGCCGCAGUAAAGCGUCGCUGUAGCCCCCGGUAGCGGGGAGAGCGUUGUACAGAUUCUCGGAAUCCAAGCGCCUUGGAAGUUCUGUCCUGGCAGUUAUCCUUUUCCGAGCCCGCGGCCCCUUCCUGAGAUCUCCUCCCCCUCGGCUCCCUGGGCCCGGCGCUGGUGCUUAUGAGAGUGAAGGAUCCAUCGGCGGCGAGACAGUUCCAUGGCGAGGGGUGGAGCGACGAGACUCUUCAUUAAACUGUUAUUUGAUUUCUUGUCUGCAUCAAAUAAGAGCCUUGUCUAUACGGUUUAGAUUGUAAGCUCUUUGGGGCAGUGAGUGAAGCUGAUAUGAUACAGUGCCGGCCUAUUAAGAACAAUAAAACUAAUGAAACCCAAA